rnacentral:rRNA from 1 species
GCACAAGCAGCGGAGCGUGUGGUUUAAUUCGAUGUUACACGAAGAACCUUACCAGGGUUCGACAUGCAAGUGGUAGGAAGCCGAAAGGUGACCGACCCUUCGGGGAGCUUGCACAGGUGCUGCAUGGCUGUCGUCAGCUCGUGUCGUGAGAUGUUGGGUUAAGUCCCGCAACGAGCGCAACCCUUAUCCCCAGUUGCCAUCAGGUAAAGCUGGGAACUCUGGGGAGACUGCCGGUGAUAAACCGGAGGAAGGCGGGGAUGACGUCAAGUCCUCAUGGCCCUUACAUCCCGGGCUACACACGUGCUACAAUGGCAGGUACAGAGGGCUGCAAAGCCGCGAGGUAGAGCGAAUCCCAGAAAACCUGUCUCAGUCCGGAUUGAAGUCUGCAACUCGACUUCAUGAAGGCGGAAUCGCUAGUAACCGCGAAUCAGCAGGUCGCGGUGAAUACGUUCCCGGGCCUU